GGGUAUUAACUUAUUUUUGGUAAGAAUUGAAACGGCGUGAAACGACUACAUUGCCCGGCUCAUAACCGGUAGGUCACAGGUUCGAAUCCUGUUGGGCCCA
rnacentral:tRNA from 1 species